CUUUUUGCAGAAAUAUACCGUCGAUCUCACAUAACCAUUGAGCAUGACGUCGUGGGCGGUAUCGUGCAGGGAAAGCCGGUCUCGCUGAUUGAAAUAGCGAUACCGGACUGCCACCGAUUCAAUUAGUGAUUAAUUAUCAUGAUUAGCGAUUAAUUAAUUAAUUAUUAAUCACUAAUCAGGAUAAUUAGUCACUAAAUAUUAUUAGUUAAUAGUUAAUUAGGUAAUUAAUCACUAAUUAAAAAGUGGAGAUCAUUGCAUCAGUGAGACAGUGUCGCUGUUUCAAUCAGCGAGACCGCUCUUCCGUUCCGCGAGACUGCGCGGUCUCGCCCUUUUGCGCAACGGUUGUGCGAGAUCGAUGGUAUAUUUCUGCAAAACAAUUU
rnacentral:pre_miRNA from 1 species